CGAGUUUUCAUUCCCGCGUCACACGUCCCCGAGUGAGCGUCGAGGUGGACAUCGCUCCUGGCGUGGGGAGGAAGAAACACUGGAAGCUUUGCCGAGAAUUCUUCGCCGUAAAUCGGAAUCAGACGGCGAAAAACUUGCAGCGAGAGGGAGAGGAGAGAGAGAAAGUGAGAGGGCGAGGGAGGAGGAGGAGGAGGGAGGAGGGGACGUACAGCGGUAAGGUAAGGUAAGGAAACAUGUCGGUGGUGGAAGAAUCGGCAAGUUUCGUUUAUUUUCGCCCUUGUUUUGCGUUUCGGUGUGUUGUGGUGGUGGUGGUGGUGCUUGUGUGGCGUGGCAACGAGGCGAGGAAAGGGUAAGUAAGGUUGCACGGUGGUGAUAGUGGUGGAGGUGAAGAGGCAAGGAAAGAGAAAAAAAAAGAAGAAGUGUAAGGUUAAGUAUUUCAUUGGCCUUUUCUCUCCUACUGUGUCUGAACUCUUCUCCUCUUCCUCCUUCUCUCUCCUUCUUGUGAGUGACGUGGAUUUCCUUGAGUCACCUCCCGUUGUUUAUUGCCAUAUUGCUAUCACCGUCCCGCUCCUCCUCCUCCUCCUGUUAUUCCUCUGCUUACUACCCUCUUCUCUCUCCUCCUUUCCUCUUCCUCCUCCUCAUACUUUCUUUACUACUACUUAUUCUCAUCCUUGUUCUUCUCUUGCUAUAUUGUUUUCACCUCCUUCUUCUAUUUUCUACUGUUACUACUGCUUCUUUCUUUUUUCUACUUUAAACUUCAUUUUAAUAUUUCUCCUUUUUGUUUCUCCUCUCCCUUUCCUCUCUACUUCUCCUCUUCUAUCUUGUCUUUCUUCUCUCUACUUUCUUUCUAUUUUUCUUCUACAUCGCUAUUUUCCUCUCUCUUCUCUUUCUACUUUUCUUUCACCUUCUUUCCCUUCUCUCUUUCUCUACUCUCUAUCUCAUCUUUCUCCUCUCUCUUCUCUCUCUACCUCUCCUCUUUUACCUCGUCUUUCUUCUCAACCGCGCCGGCAAAUCCUUCACAUCAGUCGCGAGAGGAUAAGGUGAGAAAUAUUUCAACGGAAUGGUGCCCGCGACUUGCAAGGCGAGGAGAUGACGUGUCGCGGGGUUGGUUGAUGGGCGGCGCCGCGGUCUAACCUCCAGCGGCGGGGUUGGUCGAAUUAUUUAUCCAGUGUCGCUGUAUGUUGGCAUGCCUGUGAUGAUAACAACAGAUUUAAGUGGCACAACGAUAAAUGGCGUUCGCUGGCGCGCAGAACCGAUACCGACUGUUGAUAGUCGGUCGUAACGUUCAUUUAUUGCUAUAAUCAUUUUACUUGGAUUUAGAAAACUUAUCAACACUCUUAGAUUGGAUGAGUGAAGGCGUCCUUUACGUCUCACUCAGGAAACACACGACGCACGGACGUUGACACUCUCUAUUUACUGAGGUCUGUGGGCGCUGCUUAUAAAUACUCGGCAAUAAACCAAAGCAAAAUAAAAAUUCAGAUACAUAAAUUACACAUCAAAGUUAGUGUAGAAAUAGGAACCUGUGUCCGGCCUGCCUCGCGCUCGUCCUCCGCCGCCGCCGCCAUGAACGCAAGACCUCAGCCCCGACCAUCAAAAACUAUUAAAAUAUUAAAAACCUCGAAGAAAGCACCACAUUGAUCGCCAUUGAGCGUGGCGGCGGCGGGCGGCCCCAGCGCCUCCCAGCUGCAGGGUCCAACAUGGCAGCGGAGCGGAGGCGCCAUUUCGUUCUGGCAGCGGGGCUUGUCUGUUCAUUUUCCUCUAAUAUGUCCUCGGCGCUUUAUUUUCUAGGUUAGCCAAGCAACGUGACGCACGCCCUGUGUCCCGCCGGUGUCACCACAAGCACACAGGGCCAGAGAAGAGCCGCGGCAUAAUAAAACACCGCUGAGAGAGGUCCCGGGCGGCAGCUCCACCGAGGCGAGAUGCUCCCGCCCGCCGCCGUCACUUGCCGAUUAGUCUCGAAUUGUGGCACUAAGCUCUGCUUAUGAGGCGUGGCUGCAUCCCGGGACGGUCAUCAGCGCCCCACGAAGGAGGGAAGGAAGGAUAUCAGCAGGUGAAGAGGUGGGGAGCGUCGGGCAACACGGCAACACUCGGGCCGGGGGAGAGAAACCAGUUUGCCGCCGCCAUUUUGAAGACGAUCGCUCGAUACAAGAUAUGAAGGGGAUAAUUGCAAAAAAAUACAACACACUGCGUGCAUUAAAUACUCGGCGUGUCGGCAGGAGCUGGUAAAGGCCUGGAGAGUGUGCCCGAUAAGAGGAAGAGUGUAAGCGCCUGCAGCCUUCGAGCAAACAGCAACAUAAGCAACGGUGGCCAGGGGCGUUGAGGAUAACGUCCUUUUGCUAUUGGAGCCACGGGACGAGGUCAGGGAGCAAUGUGAACGGGUGACAGGGUUACCAGACAUUUUUACCACUAUCAGUUGAGAAGCCUCGACAGCUGCCACAAGUUGGAUCAUGAAGCAGUACUCUACACCUCAGAGGCCCGAGCCGCCCUCCGCCUCUGCGGGGUCGACGUUGCCGCCGUCGCCGUGACGCGGGCGGCGCGUCACGUCGUCAGGCCUCAAGACGCUGCAGGGACUUAUAGAAGACGCAACAGUGUGCGGUGAUGCAGGGUGUCGUAAACCCGGCCCUGCGCCAUGCGGGGCGGCCAGUGGAUUCCUGGUUUUGUGUCUGGCCGUCCUUGUUUAUCGCCGCGAGUCUCCCUAACCGAUACGGGGCCACCGCUAUCGAAAAUAUAGUCCGUUUAAAUGUCUGUACUAUAUGUGUGCGUAAACUCUGUUAUUGCUUUCACACGCUGUUUUUUCUUGUUUAUUUACACACACUGCUUUUUAUUGUUUGUAAAUACUUUGGUCUAUUUACGUCGCCCUGUGUUUUUACUGCCAGUCCGCUUUGUUUAACCGUACGGAUUUUUAUAUACUCCGGACGCACUACAUAUUCUCCGUUCGACACACUAGUGUAUACUUCGUUAUUUUUCCCCCAAAGUCCAGAGGUUUUAUUUUCACAACACGACUUUAGCAACUAACACGAUGUAUAUACAUUUUUUUCACAG